ACGAACGCUGGCGGCGUGCCUAAUACAUGCAAGUCGAGCGGAAUGAUGAAGAAGCUUGCUUCUUCUGAUUUUAGCGGCGGACGGGUGAGUAACACGUGGGCAACCUACCUUGUAGAUUGGGAUAACUCCGGGAAACCGGGGGCUAAUACCGAAUAAUCCAUUUUGCUUCAUGGCGAGAUGUUGAAAGACGGUUUCGGCUGUCACUAUAAGAUGGGCCCGCGGCGCAUUAGCUAGUUGGUAGGGGUAAUGGCCUACCAAGGCGACGAUGCGUAGCCGACCUGAGAGGGUGAUCGGCCACACUGGGACUGAGACACGGCCCAGACUCCUACGGGAGGCAGCAGUAGGGAAUCUUCCACAAUGGACGAAAGUCUGAUGGAGCAACGCCGCGUGAGUGAAGAAGGUUUUCGGAUCGUAAAACUCUGUUGUAAGGGAAGAACACGUACGAGAGUAACUGCUCGUACCUUGACAGUACCUUAUUAGAAAGCCACGGCUAACUACGUG
rnacentral:rRNA from 1 species